UACGUAGGGUGCAAGCGUUGUCCGGAAUUAUUGGGCGUAAAGAGCUCGUAGGCGGUUUGUCGCGUCUGCUGUGAAAACUCGGGGCUUAACUCCGGGCCUGCAGUGGGUACGGGCAGACUAGAGUGCGGUAGGGGAGACUGGAAUUCCUGGUGUAGCGGUGAAAUGCGCAGAUAUCAGGAGGAACACCGGUGGCGAAGGCGGAUCUCUGGGCCUUACCUGACGCUCAGGCGCGAAAGCUAGGGGAGCGAACAGG
rnacentral:rRNA from 1 species